rnacentral:lncRNA from 10 species
UGCCCAAAUGGUAACGUGGUCACUAAACAUCAAUAACAGUUUUCUCAUUGGCAUUCUUCUAUGCAAUAAAAUAGGGAAACCAGCAUUUCUAGAAAUGUGGAGCCCAGAAACUAUUUUCAGGCCAAGGCAGGAGGAUUGCUCGAUGCCAGGAGUCUAAGACCAGCUUGGCCAACAGAGCAAGACUCCAUCUCUACACAAAAUUUAAAAAUAAAAAUUAGCUGGGCAUGGUGGCAGGAGCUGGUAGUCCCAGCUACUCAAGAGGGUAAGGCAGGAGAAUCACUUGAGACCGGGAGCUCAAGGCUGCAGUGAGCUAAAAUCAUGCCACUGUACUGCAGCAUGGGUGAUAGACACCUUGUCUCAAAAAAUAAAUAAAAACAGAGAGGUUUUCAUUUUGAAUGAGGGAAAAAGGUGACUUAGAAUCCUUUAUUUUUUCUGAAUCCUUAUGCAAAGCAAUACAGUAAAAUGCACUUUACAAACAAAAUAGCCCUUUCUAUUGCCAUAUUUGCUGUUUCAGUUCUCCUAUUUCCUUGGGCUAUAAUUAACUUGUGAAGCCUGGAGUAACCCAGAGUCUGGGGACACACUAAGUAACAAAUAUAUUACUGUAUUUGUCUGCUUGGACUUCCAUAUUGCAGUAUCACAGACAGGGUGGCUUAAACAACAGAAAUUUAUUUCUCACAGUUCUGGAGGCUAGAAGUCCAAGAUCUGGGCAUCGGCAUGGUUGGUUUCUGAUGAAGGCUCUCCUCUUGGGUUGCAGACUGCCACCUUCUUACUCUGUGCUCACAUGACCUCUUCUUUGUGUGAGCAUGGAGAGAGAGCAAGCUCUCUGGUGUCUCUCAUAAAGGCACUAACUCCCAACAUGAAAUCCCAACUAACCCUAAUUACCUCCCCCUCAUUUCCAAGUAUCACAACUACCUAGUACAAAUAAAGGUAUUCACAUGUUAAUCAAUUUAGUUUUCCAUUUGCUAAAAAUUAAAAGGGCAUGCUUAUUUCAGAACUUGUUAAUCAGCUAUAGCUAUUAAAAAGGACUUUAAAGUUUAUGAAACAUACAUAAAGUUUAUGAAGAAAUGACAUUUUAUGUUCUUGAAUAAAUGAGAAGACUCAAUAUGGAAUAUGCUAGUUUUCCUCAAGUUAAUUCCAAUCAAAAUCCCCAGGCAGUUUUGUUGAAAACUUUGCCAAUGCAUUCUGAUUUUCAUGUGGGAGAAUAAAUGUGUAUCAAUACCUAAGAAAAUUUUGAAAAAUCAAAAUAAUGGAGUAUUUGACAUACCAGAAGUCAAAACAAUAUGGUGUGGGCAAGAGAAAUAAUAGAUCAGGC